AGUGAACGCUGGCGGCAGGCCUAAUACAUGCAAGUCGAACGGCAGCACAGUGGAGCUUGCUCCAUGGGUGGCGAGUGGCGGACGGGUGAGGAAUACAUGGGAAUCUGCCCAGUCGUGGGGGAUAACGUAGGGAAACUUACGCUAAUACCGCAUGCGCCCUUCGGGGGAAAGCCGGGGACCGCAAGGCCUGGCGCGAUUGGAUGAGCCCAUGUUCGAUUAGCUAGUUGGCGGGGUAAAGGCCCACCAAGGCGACGAUCGAUAGCUGGUCUGAGAGGAUGAUCAGCCACACUGGAACUGAGACACGGUCCAGACUCCUACGGGAGGCAGCAGUAGGGAAUAUUGGACAAUGGGGGCAACCCUGAUCCAGCCAUGCCGCGUGAGUGAAGAAGGCCCUCGGGUUGUAAAGCUCUUUUGUCCGGAAAGAAAGCAAUCGGUUAAUACCCGGUUGUUCUGACGGUACCGGAAGAAUAAGCACCGGCUAACUUCGUGCCAGCAGCCGAC
rnacentral:rRNA from 1 species